rnacentral:ncRNA from 22 species
UUUUAUUGAUUGAGUCAUCAACAAGUCCUUUUCCAGUUAAGUGUAUAAUUUGAUAAUCAUGGAGAAGUGCCUCAAUAUUUUGACGAAUGAUAUUAUUAAGUUUUUUACUACCUAAACUUCCUCCCAUGACUAAUAACACUUUUUUAUUUUUAUCAAAAUCAGUGAGUUGAUAUCC